rnacentral:rRNA from 1 species
UACGUAGGGGGCAAGCGUUGUCCGGAAUUAUUGGGCGUAAAGCGCGUGUAGGUGGCUUGGCAAGUCGGUUGUGAAAUCCCGGGGCCCAACCCCGGAACUGCAUUCGAAACUGCCUCGCUAGAGUCCCGGAGAGGAAGGCGGAAUUCCCGGUGUAGAGGUGAAACUCGUAGAUAUCGGGAGGAACACCAGCGGCGAAGGCGGCCUUCUGGACGGUGACUGACACUGAGACGCGAAAGCGUGGGGAGCAAACAGG